GACGAGGGGUCCUAGCGUUGUUCGGAAUCAUUGGGCGUAAAGCGUGUGUAGGCGGCUUUGUAAGUCAGGUGUGAAAUCCCCGGGCUCAACCCGGGAAGUGCAUCUGAUACUGCUUAGCUUGAGUACUGGAGAGGAUAGUGGAAUUCCUGGUGUAGUGGUGAAAUACGUAGAUAUCAGGAGGAACACCGGUGGCGAAGGCGGCUAUCUGGCCAUGUACUGACGCUGAGACACGAAAGCGUGGGGAGCAAACAGG
rnacentral:rRNA from 1 species